rnacentral:rRNA from 1 species
UAACGGCGAGUGAAGCGGCAACAGCUCAAAUUUGAAAUCUGGCCCUCGGGUCCGAGUUGUAAUUUGCAGAGGAUGCUUUUGGCGCGGUGCCUUCCGAGUUCCCUGGAAUGGGACGCCUUAGAGGGUGAGAGCCCCGUACGGUUGGACACCAAGCCUCUGUAAAGCUCCUUCGACGAGUCGAGUAGUUUGGGAAUGCUGCUCUAAAUGGGAGGUAAAUUUCUUCUAAAGCUAAAUAUUGGCCAGAGACCGAUAGCGCACAAGUAGAGUGAUCGAAAGAUGAAAAGCACUUUGAAAAGAGGGUUAAAUAGCACGUGAAAUUGUUGAAAGGGAAGCGUUUGCGACCAGACCUCUUCCCGGCGGAUCAUCCGGUGUUCUCACCGGUGCACUUCGCCGGGUCGAGGCCAGCAUCGGUCUCUGUAGGGGGAUAAAAGCUCAGGGAACGUAGCUCCUUCGGGAGUGUUAUAGCCCUCUGCAUAAUGCCCUUACGGGGACCGAGGACCGCGCCUUCGGGCAAGGAUGCUGGCGUAAUGGUCGCCAACGACCCGUCUUGAAACACGGACCAAGGAGUCGAACAUUUGUGCGAGUGUUUGGGUGUUAAACCCUCACGCGCAAUGAAAGUGAACGGAGGUGAGAGCCCCUUGGGGUGCAUCAUCGACCGAUCCUGAUGUCUUCGGAUGGAUUUGAGUAGGAGCACAACUGUUCGGACCCGAAAGAUGGUGAACUAUGCGUGGAUAGGGUGAAGCCAGAGGAAACUCUGGUGGAGGCUCGCAGCGGUUCUGACGUGCAAAUCGAUCGUCAAAUCUGCGCAUGGGGGCGAAAGACUUAUCGAACCAUCUAGUAGCUGGUUACCGCCGAAGUUUCCCUCAGGAUAGCAGUGUUGUUCUUCAGUUUUAUGAGGUAAAGCGAAUGAUUAGGGACUCG